AAAACAAUGUUUUGACCAAGAAUUUUUUUAAAAGCAAUAGAGUCUCGAAUUUAUUCAAAUCCUUUAGCCUUAAACUAAGCUUUAGAAAAAAUCUCUUAACCUAGAUAGUUCGUAAUAGCGUAAAAAGACCACUGGAUUGUGAACCUCAAGCCAAGUUUUAAAAAUGGUAGACUUCAUCAUAAAACUAUGUUUAUAGGUGAUUUUAUUUGAGUAUCAUAAACCUAAAAAUCAUUUUU
rnacentral:sRNA from 1 species